UGUAUAUUUUUGUCAGUAUGUACAAGUAUACUAGUGUACACAGUUUAGUGUACAUGUGUACAACAAAAAUAUGGUAUAGUGUAUUAGGCACCUAGCAAGACUAUGAACUUCUUCCUUUGUUUUUUGUAAAACAGGAACUCCUUCCUUGAUACAAAGAAUUUACGCAUAGAAAUUAUGGAGUUCUAUGUGUUAAAGCAUCAGACUUUCAAGCAUGUAAACAGAACUGAAUUUUACAUAAAAGCUUGUGACUUUGCGCUGAAGAAUCUUCCAAAUAUAGCAAAGACAAAGAAAACAAGAGUUAUUAACACUUAGGGUCACUUUUAAGUUUCUAAUAUUACUAAGAGUCACUUUAUGCUACUGAGGUACUUCUUUCUAACUAUUUUCUAACUAAACACCACAUCUCUAACUUUUUUCAUUCGUUUUGGUUUUUGUGCUAACUUUUGUUGUUUUUUUUCUUUUUUCAAUUUUGAAAUAAAGAGUUGUGGACCCGAGACACAAAAUUAACUGGAUUUAAUAAAAGAAAAUAAUUAUUAAUUUCAUGAUACGAGAAUUGAGGGUUGAAAGAGAAAGAAAUUGAAGGAGAAAGCGGUGACUGAUUCCGAGUUUUUAACGGGCUGCGUUUUCUCGGCGACGAUGAUGGCGAAACGCAAGCGGCAGAAAAUAGAUUGCCGAAGAUAUGGCCCUUGUUAAAGAGGUUGACGGUCGGUUGCCGGUGAAGAUUUUUUCGACUGUUGUUUUCCUAGUCGAAGGCUCAAUAACUAUUCUAAGGUGGAUUACCUACUGUUCGUAACAGAUGUGUUGGAGGGCUCAGCGGAGAUGGAUAGGUUAUGAGUUCUUGUUUUGAGAAGCCAUUCAAACUGCUCACUGGAGGUGUACCGUGUACGAGUUGUUGAUAUUGUUUGUUUAAGGUCUUUUUGGUGCUUUUGUAAAACUUUGCUAGGAUGUUAUGUGUACACAAAGCGGUGUGUACAUGUGUACAACAAGGAAUGAGUACAUGUGUACAAAUGAGUAUAUGUACAACUUGAGUUCACCAAAACUGAGAGAUCUGAACUUAGAAGUUCCCACUCCUCUUUUCUUAGUAUAAGGAAAUGCCCAAAUGUGUUCCUUUUGGGAGUAUUGUGAAUGAAAAUGGUUAUGUUUUCACUGUA